rnacentral:lncRNA from 10 species
CCUAAAUCAUCUCUCUCAAGUUCAAAGUUCCACAGAUCUCUGUAACAGGGGCACAAAGCCACCAGUCUUUUUGCUAAAGCACAGUAAGAGUGACCUUUACUCCAGUUCCCAAUAAGUUCCUCAUCUCCAUCUGAGACCAGCUCAGCUUGGACUUCACUGUCCAUAUCACUAUCAGUAUUGUGGUCAAAACCAUUCAACAAGUCUCUAUGAAGUUCUAAACCUUCCCUCAUCUUUCUAUCUUCUUCUGAGCCCUCCAAACUGUUCCAACCUCUGUUUGUUACCCAGUUCCAAAGCUGCUGCCACAUUUUCAAGUAUCUUUCCAGCAAUGCCCCCCUUCUCUGUAUUAGUUCUUUCUCACACUGCUAUAAAGAACUACCUGAGACUGGGUAAUUUAUAAAGAAAAGAAGUUUAAUUGACCCACAGUUCCACAGGCUGUACAGGAAGCAUGGCUCAGUGGCCUCAGGAAACUUACAAUUAUGGUGGAAAGUGAAGGGAAAGCAAGCAUGUCUUGCAGUGGUGAAGCAGGAGAGAGAGAACAAAGGGGGGAAGUGUUGCACACUUUCAAAGCAUCAGAUAUAAUAAGAACUCACUAUUGUGAGAACAGCAAAGGGGGAAUACGCCCCCAUGAUCCAAUCACCUCCCACGAGAUCCCUCCCCCAACACUGGGAAUUAUGCAAUCCAACGUGAGAUUUGGCUGGGGACACACAGCCAAACCAUAUAACUGUUUAAAUAAAGGCAAGGUAGUAGAAAAUGUCUGUGGGACUAUCUGAAAAAAGGUUCUUAGGAAUAUCUCUGUGAAGUGGCUUGGAGAAAUCACAUUAUUCUGAAAUGAUUCAGAAGAACAAAGUACACUAUUUACGUCUGAUUUUUUUCUAAGUAACCAAAAUAAUUCCAUUCUUCAUUGUAGUAAAACUAAAAUGUUUUACAUCUAAGUAGGAAUUUCUCAGUUUCCAAGUAAACUGAUAUAAAAUUGUCCAAACUAAAGAUAUUAACAGCAAAUUGUUAAUGUCCUGCCUCAGUUUCUAUGGAAACUUAGGAAUUGUAGGCAAAUGCUGAAAUUGAGGUUUCGCUUAUCACUUUAUUGAAUGCCAGAAAAAUAAAUUUCAAGAGGCAAAUUGAAAUGAAAAUUUAAGUGUCAUGCAAAUAAACAUAAAAUGUUAAAUUCUGUGCUCACAAACUAUUUUUUUAACUUUUCUGAUUUAACACUCCUUAUUAUUGUUCUAUGCUUAAGGCAUGAUACCUUACCUCUCCUGUCUCCAGCUUCUCUUGUCCAGGAAAUUCUCAGCUUCAAUUUACAGUGACAAGAGAAAACUCUUUAAAAAUUAUUAACCUGCUUGAUUGGUAAAUUUGGGUAAUUUUAUUACCUCUACUUUUAUCCGUAUCUGUUGAAAUUAAUGUAUAGACAUAAGAUGGAGCCAGGCAAGAUGGAAUAUAUCAGUAAUUCCAGCUACUCAGGAGGCUGAGGCAGGAGGAUCACUUGAGCCCUGGCCAGAAGACUGAGGCCAGUAUGGGCAACACAGUUAAGACCCCUUUCCCUUUAGAAAAAAAAAUGGACAGGUAAAUGUUGCCUCUGAGUUGUAUAAAAUAAGCUUUUAAUUGAACUAAUCAAGGUGGAGUAAGUUCUAAGAGAUAAGUUUACUUUAUAGGUAAAACAUACAAUGUAUUCCACAGUUUUAAAGUUUAGGAACUGAAUUAGGCAUCGCUACCAUCUCCAUGUCAGUUUCAGGGUACUUACUAUAGAACCUUAGUUCUGUUCAGUAGCUGUCUUACAUAGUCAUUUCAGAUCUCAAAGUCUUUGUUUUUUCAUCAUCAAUACAGGGAGAAUAUACACAGGCCUUAUUUGUGUUUGGAAGGGCCAAAUAAGAUGUACAUUAAAAUGUGUUGUACAUACUAAAAAAAGACAUGAAGAGCCUAUUUUGGGAUCUCAUCCAGCACUACCCA